rnacentral:rRNA from 1 species
UACGGAGGGGCUAGCGUUGUUCGGAAUUACUGGGCGUAAAGCGCACGUAGGCGGAUUGGAAAGUCAGAGGUGAAAUCCCAGGGCUCAACCUUGGAACUGCCUUUGAAACUCCCAGUCUGGAGGUCGAGAGAGGUGAGUGGAAUUCCGAGUGUAGAGGUGAAAUUCGUAGAUAUUCGGAGGAACACCAGUGGCGAAGGCGGCUCACUGGCUCGAUACUGACGCUGAGGUGCGAAAGCGUGGGGAGCAAACAGG